rnacentral:rRNA from 1 species
CCUACGGGAGGCAGCAGUGGGGGAUAUUGCACAAUGGGGGAAACCCUGAUGCAGCGACGCCGCGUGGACGAAGAAGUAUUUCGGUAUGUAAAGUCCUAUCAGCAGGGAAGAAGAAAUGACGGUACCUGACUAAGAAGCCCCGGCUAACUACGUGCCAGCAGCCGCGGUAAUACGUAGGGGGCAAGCGUUAUCCGGAUUUACUGGGUGUAAAGGGAGCGCAGGCGGCAGCGCAAGUCUGAUGUGAAAGCCCGGGGCCCAACCGCGGGACUGCAUUGGAAACUGCGCAGCUGGAGUGCCGGAGGGGUAAGCGGAAUUCCUAGUGUAGCGGUGAAAUGCGUAGAUAUUAGGAGGAACACCAGUGGCGAAGGCGGCUUACUGGACGGCAACUGACGCUGAGGCUCGAAAGCGUGGGGAGCAAACAGGAUUAGAUACCCUUGUAGUC